ACUGAUUGCUGGAGCUUGAAGACUCAGCCCAAAAGCUGUUGAGGCUGCGUGGCCUGCCCUGGUGGAUGCAUUUGACCCCUGGGGAAUCUGGCACGCUAGAGGGUUCCUGCUGCCCACAACAGCUGGGAUCCGGUUUAGAAUGAAAGCUUAACUCAGGACCCGUCACGGGGGCUGAGUAAAUACAUCACAUCCAUACAUCUGGCACGACUGCCUAAGAUCAACGGUUCUCUUGGCGGGGAACAAAACACCUUGGAAGUUGCCAGAAAAGGUCACCCUCCAGGCGGCUCUGCCCUCAAGUCCCUUGCCGAGCUGUGGCUCAAAUAGAUGUCCCUGGCUGGAGAAGGAUGCUUUUGUGGUGCGGAAUGGGGUGUCGGGUGAUCUGGAAAGGGGCUGGGGGUGACAGACCAGAGCUGGGAGGGUAUGGGGGGCAGACAUCAGAUUGCGUGCUGGGGGCUCUCACCUUGAG